GACGAACGCUGGCGGCGUGCUUAACACAUGCAAGUCGAACGGAAAGGCCCCUUUGGGGGUACUCGAGUGGCGAACGGGUGAGUAACACGUGAGUAACCUGCCCUUGACUUCGGGAUAACUUCAGGAAACUGGGGCUAAUACCGGAUAGGAAUCCUUGCUGCAUGGUGGGGGUUGGAAAGCUUCGGCGGUUUUGGAUGGACUCGCGGCUUAUCAGCUUGUUGGUGGGGUAGUGGCUUACCAAGGCUUUGACGGGUAGCCGGCCUGAGAGGGCGACCGGCCACAGUGGGACUGAGAUACGGCCCAGACUCCUACGGGAGGCAGCAGUGGGGAAUAUUGCACAAUGGGCGGAAGCCUGAUGCAGCAACGCCGCGUGCGGGUGGACGGCCUUCGGGUUGUAAACCGCUUUCAGCAGGGGCGAAGCUUGUGGUGACGGUACCUGCAGAAGAAGCACCGGCUAACUACGUG
rnacentral:rRNA from 1 species